CCUAAAUACUUUAGAAGCUGUAUGCCAGUUAUUUCGUUCCUAUGGGUAUAAAGCUCAUGGAAACAUUGAUUCCCAAAACAAUUUUAGAAGAUAAUUCAUACAACUUUAUAGAGGUACUUCCAUAAAUAAGAACAGUAACAUGCAAGUGGCACCUGCCAUAUCUUUCCUUCGGAUGAAGCCCUGGACAGUGUAAGCCACUGAUGCCCUCAAACCCUAUGAGAGUCUAAACCCUGGGAGACAACCUUUGGAAGCCCCUUCACUCCUCAAAACUGUCCUUGCCUCUCUUUCCAUAGAACUAAGUAGGGAUAGUUCUAAAUUACCAACUACCUCACAAAGCAUCUUAGCUAUUCACAACCCUUGUUCUGUUCCUCUACCCAGCCUCUAUCUGAGGUGCAGCCCUUGAAAUCUUUUUGCACUGAAACUCUUUCACUUCUGAAUGGGAUGUUGGAAGUAUUAGGUUGCUGCAAUUACUGCACUCAUGUAAGGAAGAAAGUAUAGUAUAGAAGACUAUCUUUUGUCAUAUGACUUAUUUCAAGAUGGGGAGAUCAAUUCCUGACAUCUCCCACUCCAAUCUUGAAUGGAUUUUUCCCAUUUAAACAAUAUCCUGAUGAGGGAUUGGAUUCUGUAGUACUGUUGUUAAUUCACUUGGCUCUUUGUAAAGUUAAUAAGCUUAUAUGAGCCUGUUUGAAAGUCUUACUACCUUUUUUAUAUUGUUUCUAUUGGAAAAUACAUUCUAAAUUCCAAGUAACCAAUUUAGCAACAUAUUUCUGAAAUAUAAUUUAUUAAUAAAUUAGAAAGGGAACAUUUCUGCAGGUAUUAUUUUCCUUUGCAUUAAAAAGAAAGAUUGGCUUAGCAACUAAGUCCUUGCUAAUUGAUUCAGCAAUAUGAUUAGCCUCAUUAUUUUGUGCUUAUAUUUUAUGUAAUUGCUGAAGGCUCAACAUAAAAUGGUAGGCAAAAGUCAUGAUGGCUUUGAAGUCCUUCCUCCAAAGAUACAGCACUAGGGCCGGGUGUGGUGGCUCACCCCUAUAAUCCUAGCACUUUGGGGGGCCGAGGUGGGUGGAUCACAAGGUCCGGAGUUCGAGACCAGCCUGGCCAACAUGGUGAAACCCUGUCUCUACUAAAAAUACAAAAAUUAUCCAGGCAUAGUGGCGGACGCCUGUAAUCCCAGCUACUCAGGAAGCUGAGGCAGGAGAAUUGCUUGAACCCAGGAGGCAGAGAUUGUGCCACUGCACUCUAACCUGGGUGACAGAGCAAGACUCCUUCUCUAAAAAAAAAAAAAAAAAGGAUACAGCACUAGGUUCUUCUAGUUUAGGAAAAACCUUUACUUUCAUGAAAAUUGGGAACAUUUUUUAAAGGCUAUAUUUGGUGAGAUGGGAAGCUAGUGCCACAUGCUUAA